rnacentral:misc_RNA from 1 species
UCCGAGUUGACCCCGGCAGUCUCUCACGAGUCCCCACCAUUACGUGCUGGCAACAUGAGACAAGGGUUGCGCUCGUUGCGGGACUUAACCCAACAUCUCACGACACGAGCUGACGACAGCCAUGCACCACCUGCACACAGACCACAAGGGAACCGACAUCUCUGCCGGCGUCCUGUGCAUGUCAAACCCAGGUAAGGUGGGGAUGACGUGACACGCAAUAACA